rnacentral:misc_RNA from 1 species
CCUCGCACUUGACGCUGCCGCCGCAGUGGAACACGUGGUCGCAGGAGAGCGUGCGGACCUUCUCGCCGGCCUCCAUGCUGUUUUGGCACAGGGUGCAGGUGUAGUCCAGGUUCUGCCUCAGGGUGGUGACGCCGCCGAGCCUGAAGACGCGCAUCCGUGGCGAGUACCACCAUUGCACGAUGCACAUGAAAAUGAAGAAGAGGCACACGCUCACGACGGCGGUGGCGAGACCGAUGACGAGCAUCGUGACGGAGGUUUCGAUGUCCAUCCCUAUCCAAUAGCUGGGGUCGGCCAUCGGUCCUUAGCAGCUCCCCUGACUCUUUCGUCUUCUCCUCUGGAUCGCUCCUCUUGUUCUGGCUUUAUCGCUCGCUCCCCCGCGUCGUUCUUUGGAUUGUGUUGCGAUCGUU